rnacentral:rRNA from 1 species
AUGCCACACUAUAAUGUUUGGACCAAGCACGGAGAAAGAGGGAUUAUGAUGGAAGACAAUGAAGAAGAAGAGGAUGAUGCCAACUAUCCUAUGUUCCCUGAAUACGGUGAUACUGCAACGAGGGAAUCUGAAGAUCAAGAGGCAUCAGAUGUGCGUGAUGAUGAUCUUCGCCGGUUCAUUGCUGAUGCACAGAGAGAAUGUGAAAGUGAAAGGGAGAAGUUGAAGUUCGGUCGCAUGUUAGAGGAUCACAAAAAGGGUUAUACCCAAAUUGUGAAGAUGACAACACAAAGCUCGGGAUUUGGUUCGCUACUGAAAAUAAUGAAAAAGAAGUUUCCAAAGGAUAAUGAAUUGCCUGACAGCACGCACGAAGCAAAGAAGGUUCUAUGCCCUCUAGGAUUGGAGGUGCAGAAGAUACAUGCAUGCCCUAAUAAUUGCAUCCUCUACCGCGAUGAGUACGAGAAUUUGAACGUAUGCCUGGUAUGUAAUGCCUUGCGGUAUAAGAUCAGACAAGAUGACCCUGGUGAUGUUGAGGGCGAGCGCCCCAGGAAGAGGGUUCCUGCCAAGGUGAUGUGGUAUGCUCCUAUAAUACCACAGUUAAAACGUUUGUUCAGAAAUAAAGAGCAUACCAAGUUGAUGCGAUGUCACAGGAAGAUCGUAAGAAAGACGGGAAGUUGA